UCAGGAUGAACGCUGGCGGCGUGCUAACACAUGCAAGUCGAACGAAGCUCUUGAACUGAGGAUUCGCUGAAGUGAUGAGAUGACUUAGUGGCGGACGGGUGAGUAACGCGUGGGUAACCUGCCGUAUGCAGGGGGACAACAGUUGGAAACGACUGCUAAUACCGCAUAAGCGCACGGUAUUGCAUGAUACAGUGUGAAAAGAUUUAUCGGCAUACGAUGGACCCGCGUCUGAUUAGCUAGUUGGUGAGGUAACGGCCCACCAAGGCGACGAUCAGUAGCCGGCCUGAGAGGGUGAACGGCCACAUUGGGACUGAGACACGGCCCAAACUCCUACGGGAGGCAGCAGUGGGGAAUAUUGCACAAUGGGGGAAACCCUGAUGCAGCCGACGCCGCGUGAGUGAAGAAGUAUCUCGGUAUGUAAAGCUCUAUCAGCAGGGAAGAAAAUGACGGUACCUGACUAAGAAGCCCCGGCUAACUACGUGCCAGCCGCUGC
rnacentral:rRNA from 1 species